AUGACAUAUAUUCAAACUCUAUCUGGAACCAGAGGGUCAGGUGACUAUCAGUCAGUACAUUCUGCAGUUUUUCAAGAAUGUUCCUGUUCCUCUCAGAUGGAGAAUGGAACUUGGCCUAUCUUUGACCAGAGGCAGAAAGCUGGGACUUGGCCUAGUCUUGACCCAAGGCAGUUUUAUAUUGACAACACACACGGAAAAUAAUGUUAUGGAAGAGUGAAUUGACACAGGAAAUGCAGGGACCAAGAAUGGAUCAGAGACUGAAGGCAAGACCAUCCAGAGACCAUCCCACCUAUGGAUCCAUCCCAUCUGAAGACACCAAAUCCAGACACUAUUGCUGAUGCCAAGAAGUGCUUGUUGACAGAAACCUGGUAUAGCUAUUCUCUGAGAAGCGUUGGGAGGCCCUUACAAAUACAGAUACAGAUACAGUGAAUCAUUGGACUUAGCACCUGGACCACAAUGGAAGAAUUAGGGGAUGGACUAUAGGAGCUGAAGUGGUUUGCAACCCCAUAGGAAGAAAAACAAUAUCACCAACCAGAUCCCCCAAAGCUCCCAGUGACUAAACCACCUACCAAAGAGUACACAUGGAGGUUACCCAUGGCUCCAUCUACAUACAUAGCAGAGGAUUGCCUUAACUGGCAUCCGUGGGACAGCCCUUGGUCCUGUGGAGAUUCAAAACUCCAGUGUAAGGGAACGCUAGAGAGGUGAGGCAGAAUGGGUGAGUGGGGAACAGCCUCAUAGAGGCAAAGGAGAGGGGAAAUGGGAUGGGGGUUGUACAAGGGAACCUGGGAAGGGGGACAACAUUUGAAAUGUAAAUAAAAUAAGCAAAAAAUAUUUCACCUUUUACUUUCUAUAAAUAAAUGAAGGAUGUCUACUAUCUGGUAGCUUUCUUGGAUUCUGGAGGUAGAACAUACACAGAUAUAUAAUUCGGAAAUCAAAUGGAUACAAAUUGGAAAGGAAGUCAUAGACGUUAGAGGUGAAACAAUAAACACCUUUAUACUAAAAGAGCUUACUUAAUUCAUAAAUAUAUACUCUAAAUAUUUAUAAUUAUGGUCACAGUUAAGUAUAGAUCCUACCCUCUCAUAACAGCAAGAUCUCCUCGAAGAGACAGACCAUUACAGAAAAGCACAACUGGGAGAAAAUAAGUGAGGAUACAGUCUCCAGCUGAUAUGUCUACAAUACUACACUUUCACCUAAGGCUCAGGCAUUACAGCCAAAGAGGGGCCAGGAAUAUGAUAAGACCCAGAAGAACUGGAGUUUUGUUAUUAGACUGUAUAAGCUAACAAUGUCCAAGAAGCUAUUCUCUAGAAGUCUCAAUAUGGCUCUCUCCCCGAUGGGAUUUGGGUACAGAGCCCUCAGAUUCCUUCUAUCUUGGAUAAAAGCAUAGUUGACCCACACCAAAGUCCUAUCACAUGAAAAUUAAGGUUUUAAUAAUGUCACUAUUUGUGUCCUUAAUACUUUCAAGUAGUAAUAGUUGAGAAGAAAUAAAGUAAUAAUAAAAUAAAUAGUAGAAAACAAAACAAAGAAGCAAUUCAUACUCAGACAAAUUGCAAAGAGAAUUUUAGUUCAUGCUAAUGUCUUACUCUCUUUACAUUUGGGUCAAAAUAUCAGCCAACUGUUGUGAUUGGUUCUCUGCUACUAUACAAAAUACCCAUGUAGGAAAGAAAGGAUAUUUAUUAUUCAAUACAGCUUCAAGUCAAUAUUCUCACGUCAGUUUUAAUGGGCUAAAGUAUCCACAAACUUGCCCCCUUUAGUAUGGUUCUAGGUGAAUGAAUUUCCAUCUCUCAUUUAGCUUCUUACAUCUAUUUAAUUGGGAUAGUCCACUCCUUUAAUUUAAAAGCCAGUUGUGUAGCAACAUCUAUCUUUAACUGUGGCCCUUUAUUAUUAUAUAUUUCUUAUCCUUUCUCUGCUUUCAAAACCGUAUCUUUGACUCUGAUCCUCCUAUCCCUCUUGUCUUUAAAUUUACAGGGUUACAUUUCCUAUCUCCAUAGGUAACCUUGACUAAUAACACUAUAUCAAGACUCUUAGGUUAGUGACAUUUUCAAGUCUAUUUUACCACGAAAUAAAUAUUCACAUUUCUCUGGAAUGCUCAGUUGUGCACAUCAUUAACCAAGCAGUAUUAUUUUGCUUGCCAAGUUGCCCCUCUGGCUAUCCAUGUCCUUUCCACAUACAAAAAGAAGUACCUCUUUAAAGCCUUAAUUCAUUACAUAAGUAUAAUGGAGGAGUUGUUCAAAAAUCUGUAUAGAAAAGAGAUGUAAGGCUUGUAUAAUAGCCCAUGAGGGUUGUGAAAUUGUCACUUGAGUAUCCUUUAAUUAGGAAACAUAGAAUACUCAAAACUCCAAAUUCUAUAUGUCUAGAUUUACUAUUACGUCUGUGAUGAGGCAAUGUGUACAAUUAUGCAGGAAAAAAAAUCCAGAAUUCUAAUUUCAAAUUAAAUUUGAGUAGCAGAAAAAACAAAUGAGUAAUCUAUGAAAUAGAUUUUAAUAAAUGUAUUAUUUAUUAAAAAUUCAAAUAUUUUAAGAAAUUGAUGCUCAAACAC